UUGUGCCAGUUCCUCUCAGUAAAGGUAACACAACAGACAAUCAGGUGUAUGCUGCAAAUUGCACAGAACAUUUCCACGUGCCUUGGACAAUUUUGCUUCAGAUCUAGGAACAAAACUCUAGAAGAUGAAAACUAUUUCUGCAUUACUAAGCUGCUGCAAGUGAUGCCUGGGAACUAACCACAGAUACAGCCUAGAUAGGAGUAAUGUCAGACAGGGUACAUUACCUCUAUGUUAAUAAUGAAGAAACGUAAACAGGCAAACAAUACAACAGAAGCAGUUACAGAAGAAAAAGUUCAGCCUAUUGACACAGGUGACCUUUCUGAUAGUGAUGAAAAUCAAGGAUUUGGAAGUUGGCUGCGUUCUUC